rnacentral:lncRNA from 1 species
CUUCCAGAAGGCGAUUGAUGUAGAUUCCUUUUCUGGUCCCUUGUCUUGCUCUGUGGUGUCUGCUUGACUCCUGCUCAAUGCCUCAUUCUCUGUCCAUCUGGCCUGGUUGUCUGCCCACUGGUCCUCAGGAAGGAUCGUUAGACUUGUUCCUGCCUGCUGCACUCAACGUCUGCAGAAGGCCGCCUGACUUCCUGUCCGUCCAUCAUCUGCCUGUAGCCUGCCUUCCCAUGGCUCUGAUUGCAGCUGACUCUCUUGCACCUGGGCUCUACGUUAUGAGUGAAUCAAGAUAAGAAGUCUUCUGGGAACCUCCUUCCUGUGAUCUAGAUAAUAG